rnacentral:rRNA from 1 species
GACGAACGCUGGCGGCGUGCUUAACACAUGCAAGUCGAACGGAAAGGCCCUGCCUUUGUGGGGUGCUCGAGUGGCGAACGGGUGAGUAACACGUGAGUAACCUGCCCUUGACUUUGGGAUAACUUCAGGAAACUGGGGCUAAUACCCGAUAAGAGAUCCUGCUGCCUGGAGGGGGUUGGCAAGGUUAGGCGGUUGGGGAUGGACUCGCGGCUUAUCAGCUUGUUGGUGGGGUAGUGGCUUACCAAGGCUUUGACGGGUAGCCGGACUGAGAGGGUGACCGGCCACGUUGGGACGGAGAUACGGCACAGACUCCUACGCGAGGCAGCGGUGGGGAAGACAGCACUAUGGGCGGAAGCCUGAUGCAGCAACGCCGCGUGCGGGAGGACAACCAGCGGGUUGGAAACCGCUUUCGCCUGUGACGAAGCGUGAGUGACGGUAAUGGGUAAAGAAGCACCGGCUAACUACGUG